rnacentral:rRNA from 1 species
UAAGCGGAGGAAAAGAAACUAACAAGGAUUCCCCUAGUAACUGCGAGUGAAGCGGGAAAAGCUCAAAUUUAAAAUCUGGCGGCCUUUGGCCGCCCGAGUUGUAAUUUAGAGAAGCGUCUUCCGCGCCAGUCCGUGCACAAGUCUCCUGGAAUGGAGCGUCAUAGAGGGUGAGAAUCCCGUCUUUGGCAUGGAUACCCGGUGCUUCUGUGAUGCGCUCUCGAAGAGUCGAGUUGUUUGGGAAUGCAGCUCAAAAUGGGUGGUGAACUCCAUCUAAAGCUAAAUAUUGGCGAGAGACCGAUAGCGAACAAGUACCGUGAGGGAAAGAUGAAAAGCACUUUGGAAAGAGAGUGAAACAGUACGUGAAAUUGUUGAAAGGGAAACGCUUGAAGUCAGUCGCGUCGACCGAGACUCAGCCUUGCCUUGGCUUGGUGUACUUCUCGGCCCGACGGGUCAGCGUCAAUUUUGCCCCUCGGAUAAUGGCAAGGGAAAGGUGGCACCUUUACGGGUGUGUUAUAGUCUCCUGUCGCAUGCGAGGGGUGGGAUUGAGGAACUCAGCGCGCACCUUUGGUGUCGGGGCUUCUGCCCACGUCACGCGCUUAGGAUGCUGGCGUAAUGGCUUUAAACGACC